UUUGACCUUCACAUUUCCUGUGCUGUGCUGUGGCAAAACUCUUCAUUUAUUUCAUUUCAUUAUAUCUUGAAAAGAUCAAAAUGUCUGGUAUAAUCAGGGCUAUCUCGAGUAGAGCAUUGACUCUAGUUAAACCAAACACAUUACAGAAAGCUACUCUUGUGUCUGGACCACCAAGACACCGAGUUUCAAUGCAGGAGAAGUCCAUCAUCGGGAUUGUCAUGUGCACCUGUGUUUGUGCCCCGGCUGCGUGGAUCAUGUCUCACGUCGAGGACUACAAGUCAAGGCCAGAUGCGGAGGAAUAAUUCUAGCCAAGUUUAGGAAACGUUUGUACAUAUUGUGUGAUGUUUAGGAAUUUUACCGUGGUGGACUUUCCAGGACCAUUCAGUCAGAGACGCCAAAUUUACACACUUCAAAAGGCAGUUUGCUUAACAUGGAGGAGAGAUAGACAUGCAUUCAGUGCCAUUUACUAUUCAGAAGGAUUAUAAAGAGGUGCAGGAUUUCUGUACUGAACAUUUUUCGACUCCAGAGGCAGAGAUGGCUUCAGAAACCGACCUGAAUUUUGAAAUCAUUUCAAAAAGAGGACUCAAAAACUUGGAUUGUUCAACAACUGUUGCCUCUUAAAGUGUUUGUAUCUAAAAAAUUGAGAGGGCGACGGCAAACAACUGGACUGCGAUCAAACCGUUAGGGCAUUCACAUAACUAACCCACCAACAUGCAUGGGGAAAAAGAUCUUAUCUGACUUAUCUUAUUCUGAAAUUUGUCAUGAAAGAAGUUGAUAAUGCAAAUUAUGCUUGAACAAAGCUCUGUCUUGUGAAAAGUUAAGAAACAUGUGAAAAUUAAGUGUGUGGUCUGGUGAAUAGCUCGCAUUAAAAUUUACUUUCAAUAAAUUCCUUUUCAAACCAUGGUUUAUUGUA